UACGGAGGGUCCAAGCGUUAUUCGGAAUUACUGGGCGUAAAGCGCAUGUAGGUGGUUUCUUAAGUCAGCUGUGAAAGCCCUGGACUCAAUCCAGGAAGUGCAUUUGAUACUGGGAGACUAGAGUGCAGGAGAGGAAAGCGGAAUUCCAGGUGUAGAGGUGAAAUUCGCAGAUAUCUGGAGGAACAACAGAGGCGAAGGCGGCUUUCUGGACUGCAACUGACACUGAGAUGCGAAAGCGUGGGGAGCAAACAGG
rnacentral:rRNA from 1 species